GACGAACGCUGGCGGCGUGCCUAAUACAUGCAAGUAGAACGCUGAAGAGAGGAGCUUGCUCUUCUUGGCUGAGUUGCGAACGGGUGAGUAACGCGUAGGUAACCUGCCUUGUAGCGGGGAUAACUAUUGGAAACGAUAGCUAAUACCGCAUAACAAUGGAUGACCCAUGUCAUUUAUUUGAAAGGGGCAAAUGCUCCACUACAAGAUGGACCUGCGUUGUAUUAGCUAGUAGGUGAGGUAACGGCUCACCUAGGCGACGAUACAUAGCCGACCUGAGAGGGUGAUCGGCCACACUGGGACUGAGACACGGCCCAGACUCCUACGGGAGGCAGCAGUAGGGAAUCUUCGGCAAUGGGGGCAACCCUGACCGAGCAACGCCGCGUGAGUGAAGAAGGUUUUCGGAUCGUAAAGCUCUGUUGUAAGUCAAGAACGAGUGUGAGAGUGGAAAGUUCACACUGUGACGGUAGCUGACCAGAAAGGGACGGCUAACUACGUG
rnacentral:rRNA from 1 species